GAAAAAAGUGCACAAGGCAUGUCAUUACUCUAAAGAAUUUGUUAUACUUGAGCUAACUCAAAACAUUUGAUUUUCUGUCUAGCCAUCAGUGUAAUGUAAAAAGUUUGGUUGAUUUAAAUUAAAAGUAAGUCUUGUUAGUGUAAAGUAAAUACAUUUCUGUAAAUUAAAUUAAAAAUAUUGGUUUCCAUUGUCACGUGACUUCUAACGUCAUCCGUGGUCGUGCGUGUCGACGUUCAGCUUUCCGCCAUCUUGUUAUACCGCAUGGAUGAACUCGGCGUGGUAAAACGGGAAUCAAGAAAAUUGGAUGGGGUACAGCUGAACAACAAUUAUGACAGGUUUUGAAUAAACCAGUCACAUGAAAAACAUUAAUGCCGAAUUUUUGCGCAUCACUACCCUACAUUUAAAAUCGAGAAUUAUGGCCUCUUUGGACAGACAGAGCUCUUAGCUUCUCCAGGUUAUUAGGAGCAAAGGUGGAGUCCUCCAUGAAAAAAACGUUCAAGUUAUGGAUCAGAGUCUGGACAUAUGCAUCAGAAUAGAUCAUGUACCUUGGUGAAGAUGCAAGCUGUCUGAUCAAAGAAUACCAGGCUGACCAGAGGGAGGAAGCGGAGAGAGAAUUUGAAAAGACCACCAUGGCAUUUUUUGUAAUCCGCGAAAGUGAUGCUCUUAGUUGUGCACUGGGCAUUUCCAUUGUCACUGACGGUGUGGAAGUACUAAAUGAGUUGCUCUCUGUUGCAUGUGCUUGUGCCAUAAUGUUUGGACACAUUUAUGCACUGAACUUAAAAUAUCCUGAAGGACUCAAAUAUACCUUUGAGGCCUUUCAAAAAAUAAUCAUGGACAUAGAGAGUAAGCAGAUGAGCCGAAGGGUGCAGAACCUCUCUUCAAAGCUGCAGGAGUACAUUUGUUUCCUUUGACCCAGCUACAGUGUUCUGCUGAUGGUAAAUUUCUUUGAAGAUGUUGGACUGUAUAAAGCCUUUUAUACAAAGUUAACCGUACUACUGUUUACUAAACCUGAUUUGUUUUAUCUAUAAGUUGUGUUAUCUAGGGUUUGUUAAAUAGUUUACCCAAAAAUGAAAAUUCUUUCUUUGUUUACUCAUCCUUAAGCUAUUCAAGUAUUUAACUUUAAUUAAAUUUGGUUCAGAGACAUUUUAUGACAAUUUUGAUAAGUUUGAGAUAAUUGAGAUAAGUUUCAUUUUGGGGUAAACUAUUCCAUGAAGGUGAAAAU